AUGAUGAGGAGCUUGCUCCUCUGAUUUAGCGGCGGACGGGUGAGUAACACGUGGGUAAUCUGCCUGUAAGACGGGGAUAACUCCGGGAAACCGGGGCUAAUACCGGAUAAUAAGAGAAGAAGCAUUUCUUCUUUUUGAAAGUCGGUUUCGGCUGACACUUACAGAUGAGCCCGCGGCGCAUUAGCUAGUUGGUGAGGUAACGGCUCACCAAGGCGACGAUGCGUAGCCGACCUGAGAGGGUGAUCGGCCACACUGGGACUGAGACACGGCCCAGACUCCUACGGGAGGCAGCAGUAGGGAAUCUUCGGCAAUGGGCGAAAGCCUGACCGAGCAACGCCGCGUGAGCGAUGAAGGCCUUCGGGUCGUAAAGCUCUGUU
rnacentral:rRNA from 1 species